AAGGCUGGUUACAAUGUUAAGCAGCUCUUUAGACGAGUGGCCGCAGCUUUACCUGGCAUGGAACCAAAAGAUGACAAGAAUACAAAUAUUGAACUGAAACCCAAAGAACCAAUGAUGGAAGUGACGGAUCAAGAAGGACAGUGCUCCUGUCUAUUAUAAAAGCUCAAUGUCCAGUGUACAAUUGUUUAUAGAAUCUACUCAUAAUUAAAAUAGUUUAUUUAUUUAUUAUUUUGGCAAAAAAAUAUGUUGAUUAUUUGAAGUACAUUUAAGUUUGUGUAUUGAAAAAAAAUUAUGUAUUAGCUUCAAAUCAGUGGCGUAGCUAGGAAUUUGAAUUCAAUUUGGGGGCCCGGGGGACUUGACCACUUUAGGGGCCUAUGCAUUUUGACAUUAUGACACGAGAUAAUGGCGUAAUAUUUAAUGUAAACAAAAAAUUUCACUUUGCCCCACCACCUUCCCUCAAGUGGGAGCCCGGGGGAAUUUUCCUAUUCUACCCACCAUAGCUACGCCACUGCUUCAAAUGUCAAAUUUGAUUAUUGUUCAACUCACUGGUCGAACUAAAUAAUACAUUUCUUCUCUUGUUCGUGGAUUUUUAAUUUUUUUUUGUCAACCAAAAUGAUACAGAAUGCAUUUGUGCUCAGAUGUUAGAAGUUUGAAUAUCCUGUGCGGUAAGAACACUGCAUGGCUGCUGUGGUUAGCGGUUCGUGCUGUUAUCAUGAGCCCGAAAUCAGCUCGCUGACAUCUCCUGACGACUGUUUGAUUUUCAAAAGAGCUGAGCCGAGGCUCUUCGAGCUCUAGGCUUGUAAGCCUGAUU
rnacentral:sRNA from 1 species